CCCUUAGAUGUUCUGGGCCGCACGCGCGCUACAAUGGUCUUCGCAAAUGGAUGCAUUCUCGAAGGAGAAUGCCAAUCUUGGAAUCUAUGCCUUGGUCGGGACAGUUGCUUGCAAUUUUUCGACUCGAACCAGGAAUUCCUUGUAAUCGUGAUUCAUCACAUCACGAUGAAUACGUCCCUGCCCUUUGUACACACCGCCCGUCGCUCCUACCGAUCGAAGAGUUAGGUGAAUUGUUUUGAUCGAUAAGAUUUGACUAUGGUCAACUCUCGUUGUGAAAUUCUGUGAAUCUGACUGUUUAGAGGAAGGAAAAGUCGUAACA
rnacentral:rRNA from 1 species